AGUCGAGCGACAGACCAGUAGCUUGCUCCUCUGACGUUAGCGGCGGACGGGUGAGUAACACGUGGAUAACCUACCUAUAAGACUGGGAUAACUUCGGGAAACCGGAGCUAAUACCGGAUAAUAUAUUGAACCGCAUGGUUCAAUAGUGAAAGACGGUUUUGCUGUCACUUAUAGAUGGAUCCGCGCCGCAUUAGCUAGUUGGUAAGGUAACGGCUUACCAAGGCAACGAUGCGUAGCCGACCUGAGAGGGUGAUCGGCCACACUGGAACUGAGACACGGUCCAGACUCCUACGGGAGGCAGCAGUAGGGAAUCUUCCGCAAUGGGCGAAAGCCUGACGGAGCAACGCCGCGUGAGUGAUGAAGGUCUUCGGAUCGUAAAACUCUGUUAUUAGGGAAGAACAAAUGUGUAAGUAACUAUGCACGUCUUGACGGUACCUAAUCAGAAAGCCACGGCUAACUACGUGCCAGCAGCCGCGGUAAUACGUAGGUGGCAAGCGUUAUCCGGAAUUAUUGGGCGUAAAGCGCGCGUAGGCGGUUUUUUAAGUCUGAUGUGAAAGCCCACGGCUCAACCGUGGAGGGUCAUUGGAAACUGGAAAACUUGAGUGCAGAAGAGGAAAGUGGAAUUCCAUGUGUAGCGGUGAAAUGCGCAGAGAUAUGGAGGAACACCAGUGGCGAAGGCGACUUUCUGGUCUGUAACUGACGCUGAUGUGCGAAAGCGUGGGGAUCAAACAGGAUUAGAUACCCUGGUAGUCCACGCCGUACACGAUGAGUGCUAAGUGUUAUGGGGUUUCUACCCCUUAUCGCCGC
rnacentral:rRNA from 1 species